CGUAUCCUGCCGUGUUAGUCAGCUUCACCUUGUUUCGAACCUUGAUUUUUUUAAGGGAGUUCUAUAUUGAGACGUUGCCAGCAUGCCAGUAUAUUCUGGACGCUGAAUGGGUUUCUGCGAACACCCACCUACGAGUGUAGGUUCAUGAAACAACUGAAGCAACGGCAUACGCGGGUUACAA
rnacentral:other from 1 species